rnacentral:lncRNA from 1 species
GAAUAUGAAAGGACCUUACAAUCAAUUAACUGCUGUAGAGAUAUAAAUUCUCUUCAGUUUCAGUGAUUAUAAAAUGAUGGAUUGGAACUUCAUUGUAAAUCCCUAACCUUUGUUCAGACCUAGAAUGCGACUCCUAAGAGUUUUGGGAAGGCCAUGGAAAGAUGAUCAGACAGAAGCCAUGCUUUUCCACUUCUUGAAAUGUCCAAAUAAGGGCGGAGAUGUGGGUGGAGGCGGCAACAGAGAUGCUCUGAGGACUGCGCUUAAAAGUUGUUGAAUUUCCGUUCAUCGGCUUUGGAAUUCUGCUUCAUAUUUCCCAGAUUCCCACCAUCGUCAUCACUGCCUUCAAUGCCAUACGACCAUGGUACAUUUUUGACCCUCCCACUCAACUAAAAUUCCUUGCAAGAACUAGAUCUCCACUUACCUAUCUAAUAUGGUGAAAUGUUAAUACCCGUUUAUUUUUUCUCCUCUUGCAAAU